AGUGAACGCUGGCGGUAGGCCUAACACAUGCAAGUCGAACGGCAGCACAGUAAGAGCUUGCUCUUACGGGUGGCGAGUGGCGGACGGGUGAGGAAUACAUCGGAAUCUACUUUUUCGUGGGGGAUAACGUAGGGAAACUUACGCUAAUACCGCAUACGACCUACGGGUGAAAGCAGGGGAUCUUCGGACCUUGCGCGAUUGAAUGAGCCGAUGUCGGAUUAGCUAGUUGGCGGGGUAAAGGCCCACCAAGGCGACGAUCCGUAGCUGGUCUGAGAGGAUGAUCAGCCACACUGGAACUGAGACACGGUCCAGACUCCUACGGGAGGCAGCAGUGGGGAAUAUUGGACAAUGGGCGCAAGCCUGAUCCAGCCACCGCGUGGGUGAAGAAGGCCUUCGGGUUGUAAAGCCCCUUUGUUGGGAAAGAAAAGCAGCAGGUUAAUACCCCGCUGUUCUGACGGUACCCAAAGAAUAAGCACCGGCUAACUUCGUG
rnacentral:rRNA from 1 species